GCUCUGCAUCGGGGCCUCCAACCCCAUGUGACGUUACCAAUCUGUUGCCUCGGCGGGAUUCUCUUGCCCCGGGCGCGUCGCAGCCCCGGAUCCCAUGGCGCCCGCCGGAGGACCAACUCCAAACUCUUUUUUCUCUCCGUCGCGGCUCCCGUCGCGGCUCUGUUUUAUUUUUGCUCUGAGCCUUUCUCGGCGACCCUAGCGGGCGUCUCGAAAAUGAAUCAAAACUUUCAACAACGGAUCUCUUGGUUCUGGCAUCGAUGAAGAACGCAGCGAAAUGCGAUAAGUAAUGUGAAUUGCAGAAUUCAGUGAAUCAUCGAAUCUUUGAACGCACAUUGCGCCCGCCAGUAUUCUGGCGGGCAUGCCUGUCCGAGCGUCAUUUCAACCCUCGAACCCCUCCGGGGGGUCGGCGUUGGGGAUCGGCCCCUCACCGGGCCGCCCCCGAAAUACAGUGGCGGUCUCGCCGCAGCCUCUCAUGCGCAGUAGUUUGCACACUCGCACCGGGAGCGCGGCGCGGCCACAGCCGUAAAACACCCCAAAUUUUCUGAAAUGUUGACCUCGGAUCAGGUAGGAAUACCCGCUGAACUUAAGCAUAUCAAUAAGCGGAGGAA
rnacentral:rRNA from 1 species